rnacentral:tRNA from 2 species
AAGGAUUUAAGUUAAAAAAACUAACAACCUUCAAAGUUGUAAAUAAAGAAAGCUUUAAGCCUUA